UCACAGCACGUCACUUUCAACAUCAACCAUGUUUUCUGUAGCUCUGCUGCUGCUGUUGGCAGCUGGAUGUGUGAAGUGUGAACAGGUGACACAGCCAGCCUCUGUGACUGUGCAGCCAGGUCAACGUCUGACCAUCACCUGUCAGGUCUCUUAUUCUGUUAGCAGCUACUACACAGCUUGGAUCAGACAGCCUGCAGGGAAACCACUGGAGUGGAUUAGUCUUGACACAGAUGUCAAAGAUUCACUGAAGAACAAGUUCAGUAUCGACUUGGACUCUUCCAGCAACACAGUGACUCUAAAUGGACAGAAUGUGCAGCCUGAAGACACUGCUGUGUAUUACUGUGCCAGAGAGUCACAGUGAGAGACCAUAA